UAUUCUAAAUCCAUGCAGUGUUUUGCUUAAGUUUUAUUGACCCGAAGACCCUGGAAUAAGCCUAGCUAUAGGUUCUGAGCGGAGUCUCUGUCUGCCCAAGUAAAAAGACGUGCCCGUUUAUUAUCCACGGUAGACCGAUUGUAAUAGACGAGGUUAACCGAUUGAGCUAUCACAUUGGUUAUCACGUGAUGUUGUAUAUCAUAUUGGAGUGGAUCACAGUGAUUGUUUGGGGUUUAUAUAAGUUGGUUAUACAACUGAUAGAAUUUAACAUCCAGUUUUUGACACCGGGUUCUUCUGUACAAGUUGAUGACAAGAUGAACAUCGGUAAAAUAGCUAAAAAUGCUGUUAAGAGUCUCACGUCAGGAGAGAUGGUUGCCUUGGAAAGUUUUUGGUCUUCACAGAGAGUGGUAGUCACAUUUUUAAGAUGAUUUGGAUGAGGGUUCUGUAGCCUCAGAGCGAAGCAACUCAUUGCCCUGCAAGCUCAACUGGA